rnacentral:rRNA from 1 species
UACGGAGGGUGCAAGCGUUAUCCGGAUUCACUGGGUUUAAAGGGUGCGUAGGCGGGCAGAUAAGUCAGUGGUGAAAUCUCUGGGCUUAACCCAGAAACUGCCGUUGAUACUAUUUGUCUUGAAUAUCAUGGAGGUAAGCGGAAUAUGUCAUGUAGCGGUGAAAUGCUUAGAUAUGACAUAGAACACCGAUAGCGAAGGCAGCUUACUACAUGUUCAUUGACGCUGAGGCACGAAAGCGUGGGGAUCAAACAGG